UUCUAGCCCCGAUAGAAACGGUUACCCCGCAGCAAGUGAAGACAAAAGCUAUGGAGCGAGGAGUAUGAGUGGAUAGCGGGACAAAGC
rnacentral:misc_RNA from 1 species